GCAGUCCAGCACUGAAGAGCAAGCCGCCCAUUGUCGCCGAGGAGCCCUUUUCCACCCAGCGAGAUGCCUGGCAGCGAUAGAAGGACAAGGAGGCAUUCAUGGUUCUUGCUGCGUCCAGCUUGAGGGGAGGCCAGAUGCCUGCAGUGUGGAGAUUGACUAUGAGGAGAGAAAAGAGGGGCCUUGGAAAUCAGGGGAUCUGGUUAGUGUGGCAGAGGUAUCCAGUGGCAGUCAGCCAGGCAUCAGGAGUUUGUUGAGUCCACCUGUCCCCUUCCAUGGUUCCUCUGCCAAGAGGCUGACCAAUUUCCAGGCCAGCUUUUUCUGCACAUGGAAAACCAAGAGGUGAUAUGAUGUGGGUGCCAGAAACCACCGUGACUGUGUAGCCAGGGAUGUGGUUAAGAGCACUGAUGCUGUCAUCAGGCCUGGGUUCAAGUCCUGGGUCUGCUGUUACUGUCUGUGUGAACUGGGACAUGCUCAGCUUCUCAAACAGCGACGUCUCUCCUGGUUGCUUGGUCACUUUGAAGUAUGGAGACAAGAUAUAGAAUGUGCCUGGGGAGUCCUUGGUGCAUGCAGUUGCCACAAUUUUAUUGGGGGAAAGCAUUUCUUUUUGUUACUUUGUUUUGUUUUGUUGCUAAUAGGUAGCUGCAGAUUUCAACAUGGAUUCUGAAACCAGAACAUUUGCCUUGUUUUUGAGCAUCCCCACUCUUCUGUCCUGUGACUACUGGAGAAAAUGUCGUCCUUUCUGGCAGUGGCUUGUCUGCACCAAAACGGGAGGGCAUGUUCCCUGGAGAUUCCUCAUUUAACACUCCUUAUCUUGGGACAGAAACUGGCAUCCACUGCGGAAUUUUAGAGGCGCGAUUUGGGCUAAAUUAUGUAAGCAAGUAGAUUACGCCUUGGCAUGAAAAGCUUCAUCUGCAGUGCUCUUUGCCUAUGCUGAUGGACAGGGUCAGGGAGAGGGCAGGUCCUGAGCUUCACAUGUGGAAUCCUGAGGGGUGGGCAGAGAAGCUGCCUCCCACUGAAAGCCUGGCCAGCAAUUCAGGCCACAGGAAAGCAGGAGUCCAAGUUGGGAAAUUACAUAGGACCUUUAGGAUUUUGGCUUAGUGUUUCAAUCUCUCCGAGAUUCAGUGUCCUUAUCUCUGUGUUAGGGGACCUCUUUGACCUCAUACGAUUGCUGUCUGAGGAAAAGUAACAAUAAAUAAUUUGACAUGGAGUGGUGACAGUAAAAGCUAA